GACGAACGCUGGCGGCGUGCCUAAUACAUGCAAGUGAAGUUCAGUGGCGGACGGGUGAGUAACCCGUGGGUAACUACCCAUCAGAGGGGGAUAACUCCUGGAAACGGUAGCUAAUACCGCAUACUAUCGGAUAUCCCAUAUGGGAUUCGCUAGUAGUUGGGGUAAUGGCUCACCUAGGCGACGAUCCCUAGCUGGUCUGAGAGGAUGAUCAGCCAAACGGGGACUGAGACACGGCCCAGACUCCUACGGAGGCAGCAGUGGGGAAUAUUGCACAAUGGGCGCAAGCCUGAUGCAGACAUGCCGCGUGUAUGAAGAAGGCCCUAGGGUUGUAAAGUACUUUCAGUCGGGAGGCGUUACCGACAGAAGAAGCACCGGCUAACUCCGUGCCAGCAGCCGCGGUAAUAC
rnacentral:rRNA from 1 species